CACCAAGAAAUUGAGUCAUUUUAAUUUAUGGUUAAAAGGCAGUUAGAUGAUAGAUUAGAUAAAUUAAGUUGUUUAAUGUUAUAUAUAGAGGUAAAAUUUAAGUAUAAUUACAUAAUUUGUUAACAACUUUAAUGAUGUUGAAUCUGCGAAAUUCUUGAGGGAAACUGGGAUUAGGUACCCCAUUAUUCUUGAAGGUAAAUUGUAUUGUAUAAACUACCAGAGUACUAUGAAUUAAUUAAAUUUAAAACUCAAAGGACUUGGCGGUGUCUUAGACCACUUAGGGGAACCUGUCUCGUAAUCGACAAUCCACGUUAUACCUGACCUUUAUUUGUUAACAGUUUGUAUACCGUUGUCGUCAGGUAACUUUUUAGAAAAAUGAAGUUAGCAAUAUAAAUGAAUUAUUUGAUACGUCAAAUCAAGGUGCAGCUAAUAUAAAGGGGAGGAUGGGUUACAAUUAUUUAUUUAUAAUUACGGAAGUAAGAUAUAGAAAUAUAUUACAUAAGGAGGACUUGAAAGUAAAUUAAAAUAGAUAUAUAAUUUGAAUGAGGCUCUGAGACGUGU
rnacentral:rRNA from 1 species